rnacentral:rRNA from 1 species
UACGUAGGGGGCAAGCGUUGUCCGGAAUCAUUGGGCGUAAAGAGCGUGUAGGCGGCCCGAUAAGUCCGCUGUGAAAGUCCAGGGCUCAACCCUGGGAUGCCGGUGGAUACUGUCGGGCUCGAGUCCGGAAGAGGAGUGUGGAAUUCCUGGUGUAGCGGUGAAAUGCGCAGAUAUCAGGAGGAACACCAAUGGCGAAGGCAGCUCGCUGGGACGGUACUGACGCUGAGGCGCGAAAGCGUGGGGAGCGAACAGG